UACGGGGGGAGCAAGCGUUGUUCGGAUUUACUGGGCGUAAAGGGCGCGUAGGCGGCGCAACAAGUCACUUGUGAAAUCUCCGGGCUUAACCCGGAGCGGUCAAGUGAUACUGUCGUGCUAGAGUGCGGAAGGGGCUACUGGAAUUCUCGGUGUAGCGGUGAAAUGCGCAGAUAUCAGGAGGAACACCAAUGGCGAAGGCAGCUCGCUGGGACGGUACUGACGCUGGAGACGCGAAAGCGUGGGGAGCAAACAGG
rnacentral:rRNA from 1 species